GAGUUUGAUCAUGGCUCAGGAUGAACGCUAGCGGCAGGCUUAACACAUGCAAGUCGAGGGGUAUAGUUCUUCGGAAUUAGAGACCGGCGCACGGGUGCGUAACGCGUAUGCAAUCUACCUUUCACAGAGGGAUAGCCCAGAGAAAUUUGGAUUAAUACCUCAUAGUAUAACGACUCUGCAUGGAGAUGUUAUUAAAGUCACAACGGUGAAAGAUGAGCAUGCGUCCCAUUAGCUAGUUGGUAAGGUAACGGCUUACCAAGGCUACGAUGGGUAGGGGUCCUGAGAGGGAGAUCCCCCACACUGGUACUGAGACACGGACCAGACUCCUACGGGAGGCAGCAGUGAGGAAUAUUGGACAAUGGGCGCAAGCCUGAUCCAGCCAUGCCGCGUGCAGGAUGACGGUCCUAUGGAUUGUAAACUGCUUUUGCACAGGAAGAAACAACGCUACGUGUAGCGUCUUGACGGUACUGUGAGAAUAAGGAUCGGCUAACUCCGUGCCAGCAGCCGCGGUAAUACGGAGGAUCCAAGCGUUAUCCGGAAUCAUUGGGUUUAAAGGGUCCGUAGGCGGUUUAGUAAGUCAGUGGUGAAAGCCCAUCGCUCAACGGUGGAACGGCCAUUGAUACUGCUAGACUUGAAUUA
rnacentral:rRNA from 1 species